rnacentral:lncRNA from 1 species
CUAUUUUGAGACUAUCAACAACUCUAGCUAACACAAGUUAUUUAAACGAAUCAUACACAAAAGAAUUCCUUCUCAAGUAAUUCCUUUUGAAAUGUGUGACUUGCUUUGUCAAGUCUAUUCAUUUAAAUUAUAUGGUGUCAUACACCAUACUACAAGUUUUAGUCAUACUAAGACCUUUAGGACCCGUUUGUUUGACCGGAUUAGGGGGGACUGGAUUGGACUAGAUUGUAGUCCCUUGUUUGUUCUGCACCAGGAUUAGGUUUAAUGGGAUUAAAUGGGACUCGCUCGGAUUAAGGGGUUCGCUAGGAGUUCUUAGCCGAGAACCCCAAAUUCGGCCGGACUCGCAAGACCUUCCGCGAGAGAAAACCUCGCUCAUCCUGCGAGAGAGAGAGUUGUCGCCAUCGCUCCCUGCUUGCCUUGCUCCCUCAUCCUCGUCGUCUUCACCCUCAUCUCUGCGUCUUGCUUGCCUUCAUCUGCAUCUUGCUCGCCCUUAUCUGCUCUUCUUGCCUGGUAAACUUCGAAUCUUCGAUUUAUUUCUUCAAUUUGUUUUGCAGAUCGUGAUAUUACUAAGCUUUAUUUGAUUUAAUUGUUUUGGGUUUGAGAAAUUUUCAAUAAUAUACCUCUGUAGUUGAACAAAUUAGAGUUUUGAUUUUUAGGGUCAAAUUGCAGAUCCUGCUCGCCCUGCUCCUCCACCUUUUUCUCAGGCGACCUCUCAGGAACACUCCAACCAAAUCGCCCCUCCUCCUCCCCUGUUCGAUCCCAGUCAAAGUAACCCUCUCUCUCUCUGUCUCUCACUCUUACUCUGGUUCUUUUGAAUUUGCAGUAAUGUGUGUGUGUGUGUGUAUGUAUGCAGUGUGUGUGUGUGUAUGUAUGCAGUGUGUGUGUGUAUGUAUGUAUGCAGUGUGUGUGUGUGUGUAUGUAUGCAAUGUGUGUGUGUGUGUAUGCAAUGUGUGUGUGUGUGUGUGUAUGUAUGCAGUGUGUGUGUAUGCAAUGUGUGUGUGUGUGUGUAUGUAUGCAGUGUGUGUGUGUGUAUGUAUGUAGUGUGUGUGUGUGUGUGCAAUGUGUGUGUGUGUGUGUGUAUGCAAUGUGUGUGUGUGUGUGUAUGUAUGCAGUGUGUGUGUGUGUGUGUGUAUGUAUGUAGUGUGUGUGUGUGUGCAAUGUGUGUGUGUGUGUGUAUGCAAUGUAUGUGUGUGUGUGUAUGUAUGCAAUGUGUGUAUGUAUGCAGUGUGUGUGUGUGCAGUGUGUGUGUGUGUGUGCAGUGUGUGUGUGUGUAUGUGUGUAUGUAUGCAGUGUGUGUGUGUGCAGUGUGUGUGUGUGAGUAUGUAUGCAGUGUGUGUGUGUGUGUGUGUGUGUGUGUGAGUAUAAAAACAGAGUGUGUGUGUGUGAGGGUAAGAGUGUGUUGCACUCUGUCCCCGUGUGUGUGUGUGUGUGUGACUGUGUGCAAUGUGUGAGUGUGAGUGUAAGUGUGAGUGUGAGUGUGUGUGAGUGUGAGUGUAAGUGUGAGUGUGAGUGUGUGUGAGUGUGAGUGUGUGUGCAGUGUGUGUGUGUAUACAGUGUGUGUGUGUGUGCAGUGUGUGUGUGUGUAUGUAUGCAGUAUGUAUGCAGUGUGCAGUGUGUGUGCAGUGUGUGUGCAGUGUGUGUGUGUAUGCAGUGUGUGUGUGAGUGUGUAUGCAGUGUGUGUGUGUGUAUGCAGUGUGUGUGUGUGUGUAUGUAUGCGGUAUGUAUGCAGUGUGUGUGUGUGUGCAGUGUGUGUAUGAGUAUGUAUGCAGUGUGUGUGUGUGCAGUGUAUGUAUGCAGUGUGUGUGUGUGCAGUGUGUGCAGUGUGUGUGUGUGUGUGUAUAUGUAUGCAGUAUGUAUGUAUGCAGUGUGUGCAGUGUGUGUAUGAGUAUGAGUAUGUAUGCAGUGUGUGUGUGUGCAGUGUGUGUGUAUGUAUGUAUGCAGUGUGUGUGUGUAUGUAUGCAGUAUGUAUGCAGUGUGCAGUGUGUGUGCAGUGUGUGUGUAUGCAGUGUGUGUGUGUGUGUGUGCAGUGUGUGUGUGUGUGUGACUGUGUGCAGUGUGUGAGUGUGAGUGUAAGUGUGAGUGUGAGUGUAAGUGUGAGUGUGUGUGAGUGUGAGUGUAUGUGCAGUGUGUGUGUGUAUGCAGUGUGUGUGUGUGAGUGUAAGUGUGACUGUGUGUGAGUGUGACUGUGUGUGCAGUGUGUGUGUGUAUGCAGUGUGUGUGUGUGUGUGCAGUGUGUGUGUGUGUGAGUGUGUAUGCAGUGUGUGUGUGUGUGUGCAGUGUGUGUGUGUGUGUGUGUAUGUAUGCAGUGUGUGUGUGUGUGCAGUGUGUGUGUGUGUGUGUAUGUAUGUAUGCAGGGUGUGUGUGAGUCUAUGUCAGUGUGUGAGAGUGUGUAUGUCCGUGUGUGUGUGUUAGUGUGAGUGUGAGUGUGAGUAUGUAUGUGUAUUUUGCACAUUUGUCCAUGAGUGUGUGUGUAUGUACUUGGUUUAUAACCAUGAUAUUACAAUGUGAAUGUUUUGUAUGGUGUGGGGUUGAUGCUGAAUUGCAAUUUUUUGUGGUUGUUUGUUGCAGAGAAGAGGAGCAUAAACAGAAGGCUAAGGCUAAGGCUACUGCAUUACAGGUGUCCUUUAAUUUCCCUCUUCACAUGCAAUGCCUAGGAAUGAUAGCAAUCCUCAUACUAUUGUUUUUUUUUUUGUUUGGAUAGAUAUGGAUCGAAGGAAGCUUUUAUUGAUCUUAUUAUUAGAGAUGUCUUAUUUGGAGACAAUUUGUAUUUGUACGAUUCUUGUGGUGAUGAUGCUACGUGGCAAACAGAGACAUGUUGAACGACCCACAUUGACUAACCGUUCACUUAUUAGACGAGAGAUUAGUUUGUAUUAUCUGAAUGGUAUAAUAGGGAAUACUGAUACUGAAUGUGUCAACGAAUUGAGAAUGGAUAGAAGGACUUUUGGCAUAUUAUGCGACUUACUUCGUCAAGAUGGGAGGGUAAAAACUGAUGGUUUGGUGUCUGUAGAGGAACAGGUGUGUAUGACUUUACAAAUAUUAGCACAUCAUACUAAGAAUCGUAGUGUUGGCGGUAGAUUUUAUAGGUCGGGAGAGACUAUAAGUAGGUAUUUCAAUAGCGUAUUGCAAGGAAUUUUGCGAUUACAAGGUAUCCUACUAAAAGUCCCCCAGCCUGUGCCUAUUGAUUCUACAGAUCCUAGGUGGCGAUGUUUUAAGGUAUGAUGAGAAUUUUUUUUCAUUUUCCCUAAGCUUUAACUUUUCAUUCCCUUUGUAUAAAUUAACAAAAACUUUUUUAUUUUUUAUUUUUAAGAAUUGCUUGGGAGCAUUGGAUGGAACACACAUUGAUGUGCAUGUACCUGAAAUUGACAAACCAAGAUACCGAACAAGAAAGGGUCGAGUCGCAACUAAUGUGUUAGGUGUGUGUUCAGGAGAUAUGCAGUUCAUAUAUGUGUUUCCGGGGUGGAGGGUUCCGCAUCAGACUCUAGAGUGCUACAUGAUGCAAUUAGUAGGCCUAAUGGUUUUAAGGUACCAGCGGGUAAGACUAUUACUUAGUCUCAACUUUGUAAGUUAGGUUUAGUUUUGUUUGUCAACUACAAAACACUAAUAAGGUCUGUUUUUUUUUUCAUUAGGUUGUUAUUACCUUGUAGAUGGUGGUUAUACAAAUGGUGAAGGAUUCCUUGCACCCUAUAGAGGAAUACCUUAUCAUUUAUCUGAAUGGGAGGGACGAACACCUUUCUAAUAAGGAAGAAUAUUUUAACAUGAAGCAUUCUAAGGCAAGGAAUGUAAUUGAACGCUGUUUUGGCUUGCUAAAAGGAAGGUGGUCGAUACUAAGGAGUCCAUCUUUCUAUCCGAUAAGGACACAAGGUCGAAUAAUUACCGCUUGUUGCCUACUACACAAUCUUAUUAGGCAAGAGAUGUCUGUAGAUCCAAUGGAGAAUUUGCCAAUAAUAGAAGAUGGACAAAAUACAGAAGAAGGUGAAUAUGUUGGUAGUGUUCAAACAUCGGACCAGUGGACUGCAAUGAGGAAUGAUAUGGCUCAGGAAAUGUAUAAUGAGUGGAGAGCAAUUAGGAACCAGCAACCGAACUAGCUAUAUGUGUUAAUGAUAACAUUUUAUUUUAGUAUUCCUUUUUAUCAUGCAUUUGUUAGAUAUUAGCACAAUGAUUGGAUGGUAUGCAAAUUAAUUGGAUAUUAUGCAAGUUGAUUGGAUAUUAUGCAAAUUGAUUAUUUGUAUGGUAUUUUCCUUCAUUAAAAUAUUUUUUGUUUAGGUAUGGAUAACGAAAAUUUUUUGAAUGCUACUCAAGAGCCAAAAGGAAGAAGGCGUAAAUGGGAAGCAUUUGAGGAAGAAGUAUUACUAGGAGUUCUUGAGGAUUUGUUUGCUCGGAAGCAACGGUGUGACACCGGUGCUUUCAAACAAGGUACUUUGGUUGAAAUAGCAAAAGCUGUCAAUGUUUUAUGUCCUCAUUCAAAUAUAAAGGCAAAUCCACAUAUUGAGUCCAAGUUGAAGAAAUGGAAAAAAACAUAUAGUAUGGUCAUUGACAUGAUAAACACAAGUGGAUUUGCAUGGAAUGAUGUCAAAAAGUGCGUUGAAGUUGACAGUGAUGACGCAUGGCAAACUUAUGUGCAGGUUCAUAUCCUAUUUUAUUUUAUGCAUUAGUUAUAUUCUUGCUGCUAUAUUUGUUACGCAUGCUAAAUUUUAGUUUUGCUAUUUUGAUAUAAUCUUAGAGAAAUAAAGAAGCCGAUGGAUGGAGAAGCAAACCUUUUCCACUGUUUGAUAGAUUUGCAUAUAUAUUUGGAAAAGAUCGGGCUACGGGUAAUGUAGCCGAAACCCCUGCUCAAAUGGUGGAGGAACAAAGUCAUGAUCAUGUUGGUGAAAGUGAUAUUGGAGGUGAUAAUUUUGUUUCUUCAAUGAACCAACAAAGCCAACAAAGCACCCCAUCUGAAAAUAGCCAAAGAAAGAGGAAAAUAGCUGUGGGAAGUUCAAGUGAUGGAACCGAGGCAAUUAUCAGUGGACUGAAAGAUUUUUAUGUUGAAAGUGGGAAGAGGAUGCAAAUGGUAACUGAAGCUUUAGUUCAAGGUACUGCAGAUCAUAAUGACAUAGCUAAUGAACUUGAAGCAAUGGGUCUCUCUCCUAUGGAUCAAAUUGAUGCAUUGUCUCUUAUUUUGGAUAAACAAAAAAAUGUGGGAGUGUUCAGGGCAAUCAAACCGGAACUCAAGAAAGUGUUCGUCCAAAGGCUUUUAAGCGACAACGCAAGUGGAUGAGGAUUUUGGCUAAUGUUAACAUGGAUGUAUUUUAUUAACGUUAACAUGGAUGUAUUUUAUUAAUCAUACAAUCUUAUGUUAUGACUUAUAACUUAGCUUUGCACUAGUAUUUUGGCUUAUGUUAACUAGCCAUUUUGUAAAUUAUGGAGAUCUAUUUUGGCUAAUGUUAACUAAUGUUAACUAGGAUUUUCUAAAUUAUGGAGAUCUUAUGUACUUGUAUUUGUUGAAGUUGCAUGUAUUGGCCACUAUUAUUUUUCUUCUGUUGGGUGAUAGAGUUUAAAUCAAGCUACAUUUGCAAAUUAAACCCAAUUCUAUUAGCAGGUAAUAGAAACAAAACAAUUGUCAAUUUUUUUUAAGAUUCAUAAUAUACAUGGUAAAAAUAUGCUCCAAUUAACCAAUAUCAUGAGAUUUGUAGCAUUACUCUAUUACACAAUGGCAAAAAUUUGUAGUCCUAAUCUAAGCAAACACAAAUCUGGUGAACAAUACUGUUUUUCUUAUCCUGCUUCUUAGUCCGAGACUGCACCAAACGCUUUCACUAAGUUAGUCCAGCAGUAGUCCAGUCCAAGUCCAGCUCAGUCCGUCCGCAGCUAGUCCAGUCCGAGACAGUCCGGCGCAACAAACCCACCCUUAGGACCCGUUUGUUUGACCGGAUUAGGGGGGACUGGAUUGGACUAGAUUGUAGUCCCUUGUUUGUUCUGCACCAGGAUUAGGUUUAAUGGGAUUAAAUGGGACUCGCUCGGAUUAAGGGGUUCGCUAGGAGUUCUUAGCCGAGAACCCCAAAUUCGGCCGGACUCGCAAGACCUUCCGCGAGAGAAAACCUCGCUCAUCCUGCGAGAGAGAGAGUUGUCGCCAUCGCUCCCUGCUUGCCUUGCUCCCUCAUCCUCGUCGUCUUCACCCUCAUCUCUGCGUCUUGCUUGCCUUCAUCUGCAUCUUGCUCGCCCUUAUCUGCUCUUCUUGCCUGGUAAACUUCGAAUCUUCGAUUUAUUUCUUCAAUUUGUUUUGCAGAUCGUGAUAUUACUAAGCUUUAU